rnacentral:rRNA from 1 species
UACGUAGGGUGCAAGCGUUGUCCGGAAUUAUUGGGCGUAAAGAGCGUGUAGGCGGCUCGGUAAGUCUGCUGUGAAAGUCCAGGGCUCAACUCUGGAAUGCCGGUGGAAACUGUCGAGCUAGAGUCCGGAAGAGGCGAGUGGAAUUCCUGGUGUAGCGGUGAAAUGCGCAGAUAUCAGGAGGAACACCAAUGGCGAAGGCAGCUCGCUGGGACGGUACUGACGCUGAGACGCGAAAGCGUGGGGAGCAAACAGG